CCCCAUUCUGUGUGUGACAGCGGUACAGACGAGAUGUGGAUAGCCGUCUGCCUCUUUCUCGUCUGUCCCGUGGCUGGGAACUCUGUGACCCAGAUUCGAGCGUCUGCGUCAGCCAGGGAAGGGCGGUCCGUGAAACUGAAUUGUCAGUACAGCACCACGUACUCGUACUACGCUCUGGGAUGGUACCAGCAGCUGCCUGGGCAGCAGCCUCUGUUCCUAAUUCAGCUGGUGGAGUCUGGGGGAGGCGUUAAAACCACAGGACAGUCUAUCAGCAUCUUCCGUAAUGCCUCCGGAUUUACCUUUGGAAACUAUUGGAUGCACUGGUACCGCCAAGCUCCCGGGAAAGCGCCAGAAUGGAUUUCCUACAUUAACGCCGACAACACUAACGCGGACUAUGCCCACUCAGUGAAAGGGCGAUUCUCCAUCUCCAGAGAUAACCCCAACAACCUGCUCUAUUUGCAAAUAACCGGCCUGAGACCCGAGGACGCGGCGGUGUAUCACUGUGCGAGUGACACAGUGACUGGCAGGGAAUCUAACCACGUACAAAAACAUCCCCUGUGCAGUCACAGCCCGCUGCGGGGCACAGCCCAGGGGACGGGUCAGACACACACAGAACUGAACCAAGGAGAUAAUGUCCGCAAUGGUGCCACCAGCGCAUGA